rnacentral:rRNA from 1 species
AGAGUUUGAUCAUGGCUCAGAUUGAACGCUGGCGGAAUGCUUUACACAUGCAAGUCGAACGGUAGAGGGGGCAACCCCUCGAGAGUGGCGAACGGGUGAGUAAUAUAUCGGAACGUGCCCAGUCGUGGGGGAUAACGUAGCGAAAGUUACGCUAAUACCGCAUACGAUCUACGGAUGAAAGCGGGGGACCGUAAGGCCUCGCGCGAUUGGAGCGGCCGAUAUCAGAUUAGGUAGUUGGUGGGGUAAAGGCUCACCAAGCCAACGAUCUGUAGCUGGUCUGAGAGGACGACCAGCCACACUGGAACUGAGACACGGUCCAGACUCCUACGGGAGACAGCAGUGGGGAAUUUUGGACAAUGGGGGCAACCCUGAUCCAGCAAUGCCGCGUGAGUGAAGAAGGCCUUCGGGUUGUAAAGCUCUUUUGUCAGGGAAGAAAAGGUGUUUCCUAAUACGAGACACUCAUGACGGUACCUGAAGAAUAAGCACCGGCUAACUACGUGCCAGCAGCCGCGGUAAUACGUAGGGUGCAAGCGUUAAUCGGAAUUACUGGGCGUAAAGCGUGCGCAGGCGGUUAUGUAAGUCAGAUGUGAAAUCCCCGGGCUCAACCUGGGAACUGCAUUUGAGACUGCAUGGCUAGAGUGUGUCAGAGGGGGGUAGAAUUCCACGUGUAGCAGUGAAAUGCGUAGAUAUGUGGAGGAAUACCGAUGGCGAAGGCAGCCCCCUGGGAUAACACUGACGCUCAUGCACGAAAGCGUGGGGAGCAAACAGGAUUAGAUACCCUGGUAGUCCACGCCCUAAACGAUGUCUACUAGUUGUUGGGUCUUAAUUGACUUAGUAACGCAGCUAACGCGUGAAGUAGACCGCCUGGGGAGUACGGUCGCAAGAUUAAAACUCAAAGGAAUUGACGGGGACCCGCACAAGCGGUGGAUGAUGUGGAUUAAUUCGAUGCAACGCGAAAAACCUUACCUACCCUUGACAUGUACAGAAUGCCGAAGAGAUUUGGCGGUGCUCGCAAGAGAACUGUAACACAGGUGCUGCAUGGCUGUCGUCAGCUCGUGUCGUGAGAUGUUGGGUUAAGUCCCGCAACGAGCGCAACCCUUGUCAUUAGUUGCUACAUUAAGUUGAGCACUCUAAUGAGACUGCCGGUGACAAACCGGAGGAAGGUGGGGAUGACGUCAAGUCCUCAUGGCCCUUAUGGGUAGGGCUUCACACGUCAUACAAUGGUACAUACAGAGGGCCGCCAACCCGCGAGGGGGAGCUAAUCCCAGAAAGUGUAUCGUAGUCCGGAUUGUAGUCUGCAACUCGACUACAUGAAGUUGGAAUCGCUAGUAAUCGCGGAUCAGCAUGUCGCGGUGAAUACGUUCCCGGGUCUUGUACACACCGCCCGUCACACCAUGGGAGCGGGUUUCACCAGAAGUAGGUAGCUUAACCGCAAGGAGGGCGCUUACCACGGUGGGAUUCGUGACUGGGGUGAAGUCGUAACAAGGUAGCCGUAUCGGAAGGUGCGGCUGGAUCACCUCCUU